ensembl:lncRNA
AUUUUUCCCUGAGGCAUGGGGAUGGUGUAAAGGAAGCAGAAAUAUUCAUUUUCUGAAGUCAGCAUCCAUAAACAUUUAACCUAUUGCAAUCAACAUGGUUAUUUUAAUUGCAUAAUCAAUUUUCCAGACAUUUAUUUUGUUUCUACUACCCAUUCCUUUAUGUUUUUAACAGGUUUUAACUACAUCAUGAGGCUUUCCAUUCACUACAGUUUGGAAUGGCAUUUUCACCUUGGCAUUUUAAGGCUCCAGACCAUCUUGGUGGCCUUCUGCUGGAUAUCUUCAGGUUCUCCACAUUCCUUUCCAUCAGGGAAACCAAAACUAGAAGAGCUGCUGUUCAACCAAGUGCUUCCCAAAUUGCCCAGCUAGUAUGUGACAUUUCUUUCUUCCAGGAAAUGUAUUUAUGUAGACAUCCAACCAGAAUGAAGACCUGUAAGAAGUUCCAUGGAAGAACUGCAGAACUGAAAAGGAGUAUAACCUACAAAUUCUUAUUGACUAGAAGUCUGUGAGAUAAUCAGAAGAUAUGGCUCUGCAUCAUAUGUAUGUACAGAAAAGGCUGAAGGAGGUGAUCCUCCUCUUCUUCUCUGCACUGCUGAGAU